rnacentral:lncRNA from 1 species
UGGCUCCCCCCGUCUCCUCGAGGCGAGCUUCGCUCAUGAGCCGGGACCACGCGGCGCAGCGAAGGGAACCCUGGGUGCGUGCGGCAUGGCUUUGCGGGGGAUGGAUCCAUCGGGGGCAUGCGUGGUUCUAGAGUUAGGGUUAUCGCCGCUAUUUCUCCAGUCCUCUCCUCCACUCCUCCGGUGAGAUCUCUGCUUCCCGCUCCCGGCCGGUUUUCUCGCCGGCAUCUCCCUUCGGUGGCGGUUCUGUCGUUGGUUCUCCAUUGCCUCGGCUGGUAUACCUUGCCUUACCCCCUCUUCCUCUUUCUCUGAUUUCGCCGUCUGCGAUUUUGCUUAGGGUUCGUCUUCUUUUUCUUGCUCAUACCCAUAGAUCUGUGAGUUUGAUGCAAACUGCUAGUUUCUGGCUCAGAUCUAUUUGUUUUACUAUGAUUCUACUAUGGAUUUAAUCGAGCACAGUGCAUGGAUCGAUGGUUAUUAUUGUUUUCUACUAGAUUAGGCGGUGGAGGAGCACUGUUGGUGCGGCAACCCUGUCUGUCUAUAUACUCUGAGGUGGAUUUUUGCUUGGUCUAUGAUGCAACUACUUCUAAUCUGAGGUGGCUCUUUUUGUUACCCUAUUUUUAAUCCUUUGUCAAUGCAACCGAAUGGUGAAUGCCAUUCUAGAUGGCUAACAGUGGAUUUUUGUGAAGUUAUUGUUUAUUUGUGCCACCAAUGAUGAAAUUAUUUUACAUGUUCUUUAGCUGAG